GUGCCAGCAGCCGCGGUAAUACGGAGGCUCCGAGCGUUAUCCGGAUUUAUUGGGUUUAAAGGGUGCGCAGGCGGCGCUUUAAGUCAGCGGUCAAAUCACGGGGCUCAACCCCGUUCAGCCGUUGAUACUGGAUUGCUUGAUUGCGGUCGAGGUUGGCGGAAUUCGUCGUGUAGCGGUGAAAUGCAUAGAUAUGACGAAGAACACCGAUUGCGUAGGCAGCUGACCAGGCCGUUAAUGACGCUGAGGCACGAAAGUGCGGGGAUCGAACAGGAUUAGAUACCCUGGUAGUCCGCACAGUAAACGAUGAAUACUUGUUUUUGGCGAUAUACAGUCAGAGGCAAAGCGAAAGCGAUAAGUAUUCCACCUGGGGAGUACGCCGGCAACGGUGAAACUCAAAGGAAUUGACGGGGGCCCGCACAAGCGGAGGAACAUGUGGUUUAAUUCGAUGCUACGCGAGGAACCUUACCCGGGCUUGAAAGUUAGUGAAUAUCUCGGAAACGGGAUAGGCCCUUCGGGGACACGAAACUAGGUGCUGCAUGGUUGUCGUCAGCUCGUGCCGUGAGGUGUCGGCUUAAGUGCCAUAACGAGCGCAACCCUUUUCGAUAGUUACCAUCAUUAAGUUGGGGACUCUAUUGAUACUGCCAUCGUAAGAUGUGAGGAAGGAUGGGAUGACGUCAAAUCAGCACGGCCCUUACGUCCGGGGCGACACACGUGUUACAAUGGCGCAGACAGAGAGAAUCGAAGUGGCGACACUGAGGCAAUCUAUAAACUGCGUCCCAGUUCGGAUUGGAGUCUGCAACUCGACUCCAUGAAGCUGGAUUCGCUAGUAAUCGCGCAUCAGCCAUGGCGCGGUGAAUACGUUCCCGGGCCUUGUACACACCGCCCGU
rnacentral:rRNA from 1 species